GUCGUUUCUAAGCGACGUGGAGGCAACCACGUCACACUGUGCAACCGAAACAAAGAUCUACACACAUGCAAGAGGCUUUUCCCACUCUAUACAAAAAAUUGUUUUAAUAAUUUUCUGAAUAUUCUCUGUUUUUUGGAGUUCCACCUGCAACUGGACACAGAAGUUAAUAAUAGGCUUUGUUUCUUCCGAGUCGAGAGUUGAAAAACUGCUGCCGUGGCCUUCCACAAGCUAAGGUGUAACGGCUGUAUGGAAGCGUUUACGUAUCCUAGUGUCACGAAUCCCGCCGAAGAUGGUGUCUCUUCCUGUUCGGACGGCGCUCAGCGGUCGUCGUCCCCGGCUUACGAGCUGCCACCGAUCCCCUUUUCUGAUUAAUUUAGUGUUGUCUGAUUAGUUGCACAUGUUUCGGUUUCGGGCUAUUUAAACCCGGUGGGCCCGCCGGCUUUUGUGCGGGCUUGUUUUCUGUUUUAAUGUGUGUGAUUUCUGUGGAAGUAUUUUGCUCUCGAACCGUUUCGUCCUGUUGUUUUGGACUGGGUCUUAUUACGCCCGUGUGUGUGGCGUUGACCGACACUGUUGUUUUGGGAAUAAACAUUCCACAUAUCAACUACCCUCCCUGCACCUGACUCCUCCACCCACUACUUCUACAUGACACCUCGUUACAAUGUGCAGCGAGUAAGCAUUUGUAGUCAUGUGUGAAUGUUGCGGUCUUAUCCGACGAAGAUCCUUCUGGAACAAUUAAUGAAUUCAGGGCCGGGGCUGGCUGAUGGAGAGAAGAACAGCAGAUGGAAAGCUGAAGAAGAAAGAAGCAGGAAGGAGGAUGGUGAGGAGGAGAACAUCAGGACAUGCUGACAGCUUAGGAGCUUCAGGACUGUGCAGUGCAUUCUUCCAUCACAUGUGCAGCUGAUUCUCAAGAUCUUGCACACUAAUGAGAUGCUAUUGAGCCCACACUACUACACUGUCUGAGCCAAGGACUACAUGCUGUCUGGAUACUGUCACGGGUGUGUGGAGACAUUUCACUGCAGCUAAUGGAGAAGGAAAGCUGUACAUUUGCCAGUACUGUGCCAAAUCAUAUGUGAAGAAUGCAACAAAGAUGCAGAAUCAUCUGGCCAAGUGCAUAAAGUUCCCACAGCGCUCACAACGAGCAACCUCUGACAAAAGUCCCUCUACUUCUAUUCAAGGAAGAAAACCGUUACACCAGUCUCUACAUUGCAGAUGAGCUGAAGGCAGUCAUCAAUGACCUUGGACCACAGCAGGUAUUUGCACUGGUGGCAGACAAUGCUGCGAACAUGAAGGCUACUUGGUCUAAAGCGGAGGAGUCCUACCCUCACGUCACACCCACUGGCUGUGCUGCUCAUGCAUUGAAUCUGCUCCUCAAAGACAUCAUGGCACUGAAAACAAUGGAUACACUGACUGCCAAGGAAAUGGUUAGGUAUGUGAAGGGUCAUCAAGUUAUAGCAGCAAUCUACCUCACCAAGCAAAGUGAGAAGAAUAAGAUCACCACAUUGAAGCUGCCCAGCAACACCUGUUUGGGUGAUGUUGUCAUCAUGUUUGACAGUCUCCUGGAGUCUCUCCAAGAAAUGGCCAUAUCACAGUCUGCCGAUAUGGACAGCCCCAUCAAGAGGAUCCUCCUGGAUGAUGUACACUACCAUUCAAAAGUUUUGGGUCACUUAGAAAAGUCCUUGUUUUUUAAAGAAAAGCAAAAAAAAAUUGUCCAUUAAAAUAACAUAAAAUUGAUCCGAAGUACAGUGUAGACAUUGUUAAUGUUGGAAAUGUCACACCCUGAUCUGUUUCACCUGUGCUUGUGCCUAGAAGGCCAGCAUCCCGGAGUAGUCUCUUCACUGUUGAUGUUGAGACUGGUGUGUUGCGGGUAUUAUUUAAUGAAGCUGCCAGUUGAGGACUUGUGAGGCGUUUGUGUCAUGUCUUAUUAUGUCUGUUCCUGUCCUUUCUCUUCACUCUGUCUCUCUCUGCUGGUCUUAUUAGGUUACCUUCUCUGUCUCUCCUUCUUCAGCUGUUCUACAUCUCUCCUAACUAGCUCAUUCAUCCUUUCCCACCUGUUCUCUCUUUCUCCUCUGAUUAGGUCUCUAUUUCUCUCUCUGUUCCUGCUACUUUCAGUGUCAGAUUCUUGUUUGUGUUUUUCAUGCCAGAAGCAAGCUAUCGUCUCGUUUGCUUCCACCUUGUCCUAUCCUGUCGGAGUCGGCCUGGCAGGUGCAUCCUGCACUAUACAACGUCGGAAGAGGAUUUAUGCCAUUCCUGUUUUUUCAUUAAAGAACUCUGUUUUCUGUUAAAACCGCUUUUGGGUCUUCACUCAAGUACAUAACAGUUUGUUUCUGAAACUAGACACUGUAAUGUACUUGUCCUCUGGCUCAGUUGAGCACCGGGGCCUCCCACUCCUCUUACUAUUCUGGUUAGAGCCAGUUUGUGCUGUUCUGUGAACUAGUAGUAGUACACAGCAUUGUAUGAGAUCUUCAGUUUCUUGGCAAUUUCUCGCAUGGAAUAGCCUUCAUUUCUCAGAACAAGAAUAGACUGACGAGUUUCAGAAGAAAGUUCUUUGUUUCUGGACAUUUUGAGCCUGUAAUCGAACCCACAAAUGCUGAUGCCCCAGAUACUGUGCUAACAUAAUUACAAAAGGGUUUUCUAAUGAUCAACUAGCCUUUUAAAAUGAUAAACUUGGAUUAGCUAACACAACGUAUCAUUGAAACACAUAUCUAUGUAGAUAUUCCAUUUGAAAAAAUCUGCCGUUUCCAGCUACAAUAGUCAUUUACAACAUUAACAAUGUCUUCAUUGUAUUUCUGAUCAUUUUGAUGUUAUUUUAAUGGACACAUUUUUUUUUGCUUUUCUUUCAAAAACAAGGACAUUUCUAAGUGACCCCAAACAUUUGAACUGUAGUGCAUUUUGGGAGAGAGUGAUAAGCAGCCUGAAACUUCUGAAACCUAUAGCAGUAGCCAUUGCACGGAUUAAGGGAAACAAUGCCAUCCUGUCUGAUGUUUAGACUAUGCUUGCAGAUGUAAGAGAAGAAAUCCAUACUGCCCUGCCCACUUGCUCCAACCAGAGGAAACUGCAGUUCUGAAAUACAGUUGAAGUCAGAAGUUUACAUACACUUAGAUUGGUGUCAUUAAAACUAGUUUUUCAACCACUCCACAAAUUC